GCUUUAUUAGUUUAUAAAGAAUUUUGGUCUUGUAAACCAAGGGAGGCUCCGGCCAUAAAGUA
rnacentral:tRNA from 1 species